UACGUAGGGCGCAAGCGUUGUCCGGAAUUAUUGGGCGUAAAGAGCUCGUAGGUGGUUUGUCGCGUCUGCCGUGAAAACCCGAGGCUUAACCUCGGGCCUGCGGUGGAUACGGGCAAACUAGAGGUAGGUAGGGGAGAACGGAAUUCCCGGUGUAGCGGUGAAAUGCGCAGAUAUCGGGAGGAACACCGGUGGCGAAGGCGGUUCUCUGGGCCUUACCUGACGCUGAGGAGCGAAAGCAUGGGGAGCGAACAGG
rnacentral:rRNA from 1 species